rnacentral:rRNA from 1 species
GACGAACGCUGGCGGCGUGCUUAACACAUGCAAGUCGAACGGUGAAGCUCCAGCUUGCUGGCGUGGAUCAGUGGCGAACGGGUGAGUAACACGUGAGCAACCUGCCCCUGACUCUGGAAGAAACGCUGGAAACGGCGUCUAAUACUGGGUACGAGAAGGGGCCGCAUGGGGACUUUCAGGAAAGUUUGUCGGUGUGGGAUGGGCUCGCGGCCUAUCAGCUUGUUGGGGAGGUGAUGGCUCACCAAGGCGACGACGGGUAGCCGGCCUGGGAGGGCGACCGGCCCCACUGGGCCUGGGAAAGGCCCCAGCACCCUACGGGGGGCAGAGGGGGGGAAUUUUCCAAAAUGGGGCAAAGCCUGAUGCGGAGGGCCCCGGUGGGGAAUGCCGGCCUUUGGGUUGUAAACCUCUUUCAGAAGGGCAGAAGCGAAAGUGACGGUACCUGCAGAAGAAGCACCGGCUAACUACGUG